GCAGUCGCCGCGGUAAUACGAGGGGAGCUAGCGUUGUUCGGAAUUACUGGGCGUAAAGCGCGCGUAGGCGGCUUUUUAAGUCAGAGGUGAAAGCCCGGGGCUCAACCCCGGAAUUGCCUUUGAAACUGGAAAGCUAGAAUCUUGGAGAGGUCAGUGGAAUUCCGAGUGUAGAGGUGAAAUUCGUAGAUAUUCGGAAGAACACCAGUGGCGAAGGCGACUGACUGGACAAGUAUUGACGCUGAGGUGCGAAAGCGUGGGGAGCAAACAGGAUUAGAUACCCCCGUAGUCCCUGUCUCUUAUAA
rnacentral:rRNA from 1 species